GGGCAUAGUGGAUUGAUGAUUGAAACUGAGUGAGGAACAUUCUACGCAUCUGCUCCCAUGACCCAAUGCUACCUGGUCCGAUCUUCUGAAACCAUUGGUGGGCAUUUCCCCUCAAAGUUGAAGCUAAAAGUCGACACUUGGUCAGAUCAGAUACCUGGUGUAACUCCAUCUCCGUUGUAAAGCGCCCAAUGUACUCUGCCGGAUCCGUUGUUCCAUUAUACCUU
rnacentral:lncRNA from 1 species